rnacentral:rRNA from 1 species
UGGGGAAUAUUGGACAAUGGGCGCAAGCCUGAUCCAGCCAUGCCGCGUGUGUGAAGAAGGCCUUCGGGUUGUAAAGCACUUUUGUCCGGAAAGAAAUCCUGUCGGCUAAUACCCGGCGGGGAUGACGGUACCGGAAGAAUAAGCACCGGCUAACUUCGUGCCAGCAGCCGCGGUAAUACGAAGGGUGCAAGCGUUACUCGGAAUUACUGGGCGUAAAGCGUGCGUAGGUGGUUUGUUAAGUCUGAUGUGAAAGCCCUGGGCUCAACCUGGGAACUGCAUUGGGAUACUGGCUUACUAGAGUGCGGUAGAAGGUGGCGGAAUUCCCGGUGUAGCAGUGAAAUGCGUAGAUAUCGGGAGGAACAUCCGUGGCGAAGGCGGCCACCUGGACCAGCACUGACACUGAGGCACGAAAGCGUGGGGAGCAAACAGGAUUAGAUACCCUGGUAGUCCACGCCCUAAACGAUGCGAACUGGAUGUUGGGAGCAACUAGGCUCUCAGUAUCGAAGCUAACGCGUUAAGUUCGCCGCCUGGGAAGUACGGUCGCAAGACUGAAACUCAAAUGAA